CAGUAGCCGCGGUAAUACGGAGGGUGCAAGCGUUAAUCGGAAUUACUGGGCGUAAAGCGCACGCAGGCGGUCUGACAAGUCAGAUGUGAAAUCCCCGGGCUUAACCUGGGAACUGCAUUUGAAACUGUCAGGCUGGAGUCUUGUAGAGGGGGGUAGAAUUCCAGGUGUAGCGGUGAAAUGCGUAGAGAUCUGGAGGAAUACCGGUGGCGAAGGCGGCCCCCUGGACAAAGACUGACGCUCAGGUGCGAAAGCGUGGGGAGCAAACAGGAUUAGAGACCCCGGUAGUCCCUGUCUCUUAUAC
rnacentral:rRNA from 1 species